UUGUCGAGCAUUGGGAAGAAAGGAGAGAGCUUUUUGGAAGCUGUGAGGGUCUCUUUCCGGGGUUUUUUUGGUGGAUAUUUUGCAGCAGAGAGAUGGCUUUGAAAAGUGGGUGGGAUGCAACUGUGUUUGGAGGGGUGGAAAAGCUGUGUUAAGAAGAAAGGAGGAAGCUAGUUUUGGAAGCUGUGAGGGUCUCGGGUUUUGCAGGAGAGAGAGAGCUGGGUGAGAGGAAGAAUGUACUACUGAUACGGGCUGUCUCUUUGAUAUUUUGAGGCUUUUAGGUGUCUCUCUGCUGGGUUGGAAGGAGGCUCUCUCUUCUGGGGCAGCUGUGGAGGGUUCAGUUUUUCUUAGCGAGUAUUGAUGGAGGGUUUGGAGAUUUGUUCUUGGGCAGCUGGCUGUGUGGCUCUGGGGCGGAUUUAGGAAGUGCUUGGAGAUAUCUCUGGGAUUAGUGGGCUUCUUCGGCUGCAACCACUCCUCCACUUUUGAAACCCCUCCAAGUCUCUCCAUUGUGACAUUCUGCCUUUUCACUCUCGAGAACAAGAGAAGACCGAAGCUCUCUCCCCUUUUUUACUGCUUCAGGCAUCAAGAAGCCCUACUGAAGUUGCCCUCCAGACGAGAGAAUCCCUAAAAAGGCCCUAUUUUCCUCUGUCACUCUCAAUCCUCGCAGUCUGGUAUCAUGUGGGGUGCUUUGUCAGGUCAAGGGCACCUAGAGUUGUUCUCUUACAUUAAAGGCCUCCCCUGCUUCAAAUCCAAUCAGUAGAUGUUUUCUUCAUCCUUGAUGAACUCAUCUUAAUACAAUGACCCCUAUUCCAUCCAUAUUUCUUGGAGCAAAUGCUUUUACCUUUAUGUAGGUUUUUCAGACUUCAUUAGCAAAUGUGAGACUCACUUAGGUAGAGUCGGGAGUUAUGGUGGAGGGAUAAAAACGUUGCCUUAGUAUUGUUACAACACUUAUUGGUGAUCCAAAGUAUCAUUUUAGAUGAAUUAGUAUGCAGACUAAGACUUCUUUUUGGUGCACGUUUCUAUAUUUUAUUUGUUUUAUAAUUUAUAUGAAAUUUCUUUUGAUUUUUAAACAAUUAAUAUGAACCCAAUAACAAGAAAGCAUGUGUGGGACAUAAUAGAGAAUGCAAAUAAAGGGUUGCUAUUGAGUGUGAUAUUAGGACAAUGACAUACUUUUUUUUUGCAUUGUCUAUUAUGUCCCACACAUGCCUCCUUGUUAUUGGGUUCAUGCCAAUUGUCUAGAAAUAAAAAGAAACUUCAUAUGAAUUAUAAAACAAAUAAAUUAAAGAAACAUGAACUAAGGAAAAGUCUUUAGUCUACAUACCAAUUAAUCUAAAAUGACAAAUUUUGGAUCACCAAUAAGUGUUGUAAUAAUACUAAGAUGACGUUUCAUUCCUCCAUAACUCCCAACUCUCAUUUUUGCUACUUGGGUGAAUCUCACUUGUGCUAAUAAAUUUUGAGAAAUUUGCAUAGAAGUAAAAACAUUUGACCCAAUAAAUAUUGAUAGAAUAGAGUCAUUGUAUUGACAUGAAUUCAUACCAAUGGUAGGAUUCAUUGCAUUGAAACCUCAAUUAGCUUGAAGUCUCGAUUUGGAUUUGGUUCUAUUGCCCAUGUGAGCUUCAUCGAAAGCAUGAGUAGGAAUACUUGCCCCAAUGAGGAUGCAGUUACCAUGCCUUACAGGGAAGCCGUGAAGUAGUUCUUUUCUUUAAAUAUGUAAGUUUAAUUAAUAGAGAUUGCUCAAACAUAUCCUUAGACCCCCAAAGUUUGGUUUCUGAUUUUUUGAAUGUUUUUUACAACAUUUGAAUUGUGUGCCAAAAGAAGAAAAGGCCUUUUUUACUUUUGUUAUCCCCGAUGAUAGAGAAGCACAAUUUGGCAUGGGCAACAAUCAGGUUUGACAUGAAUAUAAUAUCAGAAAAAUCCCAAUUCCAAUC